CCUGCUGAGAUGUCAACACGUUGGACCGUUGUCCCACAGCACUCAUUUCAAACCACAUGGAAGAACAGCUCGUCCUGCAGCCACUGAACUGAACUCCUCCAGACACCAGAGAGAUGCUGAAGUUAUGGGAUCACGGGUGGUUGAACAUACCUGUAUGUAGUGAAUGUGUGUGCUGUUAUUACUUGUAUUAGUGAGACAGGAGUGGGUCAGAUGUCGUGGUGUGCACUCGGGCUGGGCGGCAUACGGGUUGAACAGCUGCACACUCCGUCAUGCAGCGUGCAGAUAGAUAUCUUGUUCUCUGCUCACCGACGGGGCGCAGCAGUCUGAGCUACUUGCUACUACUUAGUCCGUCUUCACUGACAUUUGCAUUUAAUGAAUUAACUUUGAGGCGUCCCAACAACAUCCAGCAGGCUUCAACCUCAUGAAGCUUGUAAAAGUCGGACUCUGACACUUGAGCAAAGAUCUUCUUCCAAAACGGGUUCCUCAGGUUGAGGGUUAACGUACGAGUUCAAUUAGCGCACUAAUGCAAAAUACGGUUCCCUGUUUCCCAGAUUACAGGGGGGAGGUUCUCUGUGAUGGAGCAGAUUUAAUGUGGUGCAGCCUAUUUGAGACAAACAUUUGCAUAUGGAGCAAACGUACCUGUUGGUUCUUUUGAUUUCUCCCUGAAAUACAAAAGCAAGAAAGGUAUCAGCUUAAACAAUAAGGCUGUGAAGGCAACAAUGGAACAAAGUAAUGUCAGCCAAUCAGAUGAGGGUUGCAAAGACAAGUACUAACUUUUGAUCCAGAGGACAACCAGUGUUCCUAUUAGUAACAUUACAAGUACAACUACAGGUACAGCUAUUAACCCGUAAAGGCCUCUUGGAGCAGCUCCACAAACAGUGUUACUGGUCGGGUUUCCUCCUUUGACCUCCACUUGGUUUUCUGAGCAACUGUCAAAAAAGAGAAAUGAAGAAGAGCUUUAGUGCUUUUGGUGUUAAAAACGGACCAUUACCAGGAACGCUUGUAGAUGUAUUGAAAGUGACCAAAUGAAACGGGCCUGGGGGGUUGGUGACGUCUUGAAUCUCCCGAUGGGGGGUUGGUCCAUCUCAGGGGAAACUUGACUACUGGUCAAGGUAAUAAACGUAUAAGCAUAGUGGGAUCACUAUGCUUGUACGUUUAUUACAGCACACUUUUUACAGACAUUCUUUAACAAACAAGGUCUUACGUGGUCCAAAGUGAACAAUUCACACCCUCCAGUGAAAAACUGCCUGCGGGACAAGGUUCACACGUUGUGUCAGUUCUUCUGGUCCCUUGGAGAAACAGACAAAGCUGAGAUGAACGACACAGGAACCCAACGACCAGCAUCAUGAAUCAGAUCCAUGUGUUCAUCAAGGGAGUGCUCAUGCACACUCGUACCCGAGACCUGAUGACGUUCACGCUACCCGAGAGGCUCAAUAAAUCCUGCUGUAAGUGACCUGAGGAGGCCAGUUGGAGUAUAGAGAUCAUGUUUACUGCAGCUGUACUUAGAAGAACCGUUGCUUAUCCUCGUAUACGUCGUGGUGUCUGCAUGCUGAAUCUAGUGAAAGAGUUCAGGCCUCAGAGACCAGACUGGAGGAGACCUAGAAGGUGUGCUGGACAUGGACAUGAGUCACAGACGUGCCUGAGCUGUGGCCAAAGAGAUCAAUAACCAGCUGCACCACCACGAGCCGUGGACGUAGUCACUGUGUGACUGGAGUUUUUCUCACCAGGCUCUUUGACCCUGUGACCAGGUUUACAGUCUGAAUGUCUGCGUGCCGAACGGCAUUCUUUAUCUUCUAUCAGGUCCGUGCAGAAGUGACCAGCGAUGACGUCACAGACGGUGUCACUUGUUGAUGUGCAGUUCUGUUUGGCAAAGAGACCACGGCCUGAAAACCAACACAGACUCAUUAUAUUAUAGUUAAACAAAGAUGCUGGACAGCGGAUUGCAACAAAUGAACUGAAUGAUAUGAGACGGACAGAAGAGCAGAGAGGUCGAUGGAAAACUACCUUACAGCUUAAAGAGAAAGAGCUGUAUUAUAUGAAGUCUGUCACAAAAUAAAAACUGAAUGUAAACGCAGGGAAUUGACAUUGUGAAACGUGACAGACAGGUAAGUAAAUGUACUAAGAAGAUAAAGCAAGUCACUUUGCAAUUACAUCACUCAUUUUUCCACUUAAAGACAACGUUGGUGGACAUUGAUACAUUUACUGUAUUGUUAGUUCAUAAUGUCAAUAAGCUGUAUCACUGAUAAUAAACUGUACAGAUAUACAAUGUGCUGCAUUCAAGGCUCCAUAUAAAACACUUACCUGCUACAACA